rnacentral:SRP_RNA from 1 species
GCCGUGCACAGUGGCACGUAACUGUAUUCCCAGCUACUUGGGAGGCUGAGGCUAGAGGAUUGCUUGAGCCCAGGAUGCUGGGCUGUAGUGUGAUGUGCCGAUCAGGUGUCUGCACCAAGUUCAACAUCAGUAUGGUGACCUCCUGGGAGUGGGAGACCACCAGGUUGCCUAAGGAGGGGUGAACUGGCCCAGGUCGGAAACGCAGCAGUUCAAAACUCCCGUGCUGAUCAGUAGUGGGAUCGCGCCUGUGAGCCACUGCACUCCAGCCUGGGCAACAUACUGAGACCCUGUCUCU